AAUGACAAUGACCUCAGCAUUUCAAGGGCUAAAUUAUCAUGUGGUCACGUCACAUCUGCUAAGACUUUGGUGGAAUGCUGCACAGUACAGCUAAAGAAUGGACAAGUGGAACUGAAAUGUCCGAUAUGUACAAAAGUGUGGCCAUAUGGUGAAGUGAGAACAUUGUUAACACAUAAGGAACAACUUUAUUUUAAAGACACACUUCGGGAAAAUGCUGCUAAAAAGAUGAUUGACAUCAAAGGGUGUCCUGGCUGUGGUUCCUUUGUUGAAAGAAAGGAUUCUUCUAACCUCUGCAUUCAGUGUCCAUUCUGCACAGUAAAGACUGGGAAAAGAUAUGAGUUCUGCUGGCAGUGUGGAGGAAACUGGAAAGGGCCCCGACCUCGCACUGAUAAAUGUGAUAAUCUGGGUUGCUCUAACAGUGACUUAAAAAUGCUAAGAGAUUGUAAAAUGAUAACUUUGCCACAUAAUGAAAAUCAAAACAUUCAGUGUCCAUCGAUUCGUGCCUGUCCAGAAUGUGGCAUGCUGUUUGAACACACUCUAGAAGGGUGUAAAAUGAUGGCAUGCUUUAAUUGUAAAAUUUCAUUCUGCUUUGUCUGUCUAAAAUCAUCUGGUUGCUGUAAAUCUGGUGCUGCACCAAGACAGACAUCAAUUCCUUAGAAUCUCAAUAACUGACCCAAUGUUAAUAGAUGUAAUGUCUCUUUGAUUAGAAUUAUUGUAAUGAAUUAUGCAUAGCAUGGAAAUAAGCAAUCACUAUUUUGAAGAAAAUUUCAACGGCUUACAGUUUUUCUCAAUC